rnacentral:lncRNA from 1 species
GGAAUUUCCUUGUCCAUGUGGACCAUGAGGACGUCACAUCAUGACCUCCUUUCAAGUAGCAGGAUGGAGGAGGCAAGAGGAAAAGGGCCAUUUCAUAGCCAGUAAUGCUUUGCUGAUGGAAUGAAUGAAUGAAUGAAUGAGUGGAACAAACUCCAUGGUGACUGCUACAUGCUUUACAUGUGCUACGUGCUUUACAAGUGUUUCACUUGUUCUUACCACACUGCUGUGAUGUGGAGAUGGGGAGCUGAGACUCGGAGGGCUAUGAGGUCACUUAGUAAGUGCAGGGUCUGGAUUCACACCCAAAUCCCCGCCCUUUCUGAUAGUCCUUAUGUUCCAUGCUCUAGGGAUUAAAGACACGUUUCCCUACUUUUCCCAGAAUACUUCCACA